GACUUCGGCAGCACAUAUUAUAUACUAAAAUGGGAAGGAUACAGAAAGGAUUAGCAUGGUCCCUGAGCAAGGAUGACACGCAAAUUCAUGAAGUGCUACAUAUUAAA